UACGUAGGUGGCAAGCGUUGUCCGGAUUUACUGGGCAUAAAGAGCGCGCAGGCGGUCGGAUCAGUCGAAUGUGAAAGCCCCCGGCUCAACUGGGGAGGGUCAUUCGAUACUGUCCGACUCGAAGGCAGGAGAGGGAAGCGGAAUUCCCGGUGUAGUGGUGAAAUGCGUAGAUAUCGGGAGGAACACCAGUGGCGAAGGCGGCUCUCUGGACCGGUUCUGACGCUCAGGCGCGAAAGCGUGGGGAGCGAUCCGG
rnacentral:rRNA from 1 species